GAAAUGCGAUACGUAAUGCGAAUUGCAGAAUUCAGUGAAUCAUCAAGUUUUUGAACGCAACUUGCGCUUUCGGGAAAUGCCCGAAAGCAUGCCCUUUUGAGCGUCGGUUCACACAUCUUCUCCACAUCUUUUGGGUGUGGGAAAGUGAGCGAUGUGUUUGGUGCAAACCAAAAACUCGCUUGAAACCGACUGAGGCUAUCUCUAACCUUGAUUCGAUUUCGAAUUGGGCGCGGAUAAUUUGUGUUUUUUCGUAAAACACUAUCCUUGCGUCGUAAAUUUGAAUGAAAUCGGUUGGAAAGGAUUCCUCAACAACCUUUUUUUUUGGUUUUGCAUUGCAAUACCAAGGAAAAAAACUGAAAUUGAAAUCAGACCUCAAAUAGGGCAAGAGUACCCGCUGAAC
rnacentral:misc_RNA from 1 species